ensembl:lncRNA
CUGAGUUUGUGUUUUAAAUGUUUGGAUUUUGGACAUGUUUCUCAUCAGCGUUAAAAAUCAUCAGAAGUAGACCCUAAGCCUUAAGGUACUGUCAGUCUAGUUUGGGUGGGGGGGGGAUUAUUACUUCAGACAGCUCGAGUGAGAACUCUCUGGAAUGUCUCUGUCUCAGAAUGUCUUUCCUCAUCACGGGGGUUCCCCUGGUUGAUAAAUGUGUGUGUGUGUGUGUAGAUUCUUUUCUUUUGAGUGUAUGCGAGUGUGUUGAUCGAUCCUUGUAUGUGAGUGUGUUGAGGUUGUGUGAAUGUGAGCGAGUCUGUGGUUGUGUGUGUUUUCUAUCAUGAAGAUAAGCGCCGGUUGUUUGGUCAGAUAAGAAAACUAGGACCAGGCAGACCAGUGGUUCCAAUUCCUUAUCUAUAGAUCUGGAACCAAGUAAAUGGAUCUGCCUCCUCUCCAAAACCCAUUCAUGUUCUCCACAGAUUCCGUCCGUGGUGAAGAGUUCCGUUAAAUGUUAAAGACUUGAGCUGAAAUAUUCCAUUGCAAUGCAAGAGUGUUUUAUUUAUAGUUGUGUAACAUUGUACAUGUUGACCGGAGAGGGUUGCACAAGGGACCUGUGGUGUUCUGACACCAAGCACACCAAAGUCAUGGUUUCAUGCUCAAGAAGGACUUUUUUUGUAUUUUUUUGAAGUGUUGUGGGGUGUGUGUGUGUGUGUGUGUUGUUAAGUGUGGUGGGUGGAGCCUCUGGAGGAAGGCGGAGACUCAUCGAAGGUUUCCCGCUUAAAAAUGUUUUUCCUCUCUUAUAAGCAGCAGUCCAAAGACCAAGCUAGCAUCCGACUGUUCAGUCAGCUGUCCCCUCCUGUUAGAAUGUGGAGUCUGUCCGCGGUCCCGUCCGUUUAGAACGUGGAGACCCGGACCUAUCAUCCUGUUAGAACGUGGAGACCCGGAGCUGUCGUCCUGUUAGAACGUGGAGACCCGGAGCUGUCGUCCUGUUAGAACGUGGGGUUCCGGACCUAUCAUCCUGUUAGAACGUGGAGACCCGGAGCUGUCGUCCUGUUAGAACGUGGGGUUCCGGACCUGUCGCCCACAGCUGAACGUGUAGUAGAUGUUGGCUAACCAAAAACUCCAGACGCUGAAAUGUUACCAUGUUGUUUUAUUCAUGAAUGAUUUUAAAAUCCAAAGGUUAUAAUCUCUCAGGCAUGCCUAACCCUGGGAGGCGCUCUACCUCCUGCAGUGUGACCUUGAGAAGCUGUCUGUCUCUCCCACAGUGUGACCUUGAGAAGCUCUGUCUCUGUCUCUUCUGCAGUGUGACCUUGAGAAGCUGUCUGUCUCUCCGCUAGUGUGACCUUGAGAAGCUGUCUCUCUCUCCCACAGUGUGACCUUGAGAAGCUGUCUCUCUCCUACAGUGUGACCUUGAGAAGCUGUCUGUCUCUCCGCUAGUGUGACCUUGAUAAGCUGUCUGUCUCUCCUGCAGUGUGACCUUGAGAAGCUGUCUGUCUCUUCUGCAGUGUGACCUUGAGAAGCAGUCUGACCUUGAGAAGCAGUGUGACCUUGAGAAGCUGUCUCUCUCUCCUACAGUGUGACCUUGUAGUCCGUAUAGCCUUUCAUGUCUUAGAGUUUAACUCUGUCUUGUCAGGGACCCGUUGCCGGUCAUCAUUUACCAUUAAUGACCAGUUUUGUUUUGCAUUGCAGUGUACGCACUUCAAUGUUGCCAUGUUUGUGAAGAUGGUCCAUCUCUAUUUAUGUUUUGAUUAUACACACAAACCCUAUUACAAUAAAAGCAAUGUGAAACAUUUUCAACCUUGU